UGGGUGAGUAACACGUGAGUAACCUGCCCUUGACUUUGGGAUAACUUCAGGAAACUGGGGCUAAUACCGGAUAGGAGCUCCUGCUGCAUGGUGGGGGUUGGAAAGUUUCGGCGGUUGGGGAUGGACUCGCGGCUUAUCAGCUUGUUGGUGGGGUAGUGGCUUACCAAGGCUUUGACGGGUAGCCGGCCUGAGAGGGUGACCGGCCACAUUGGGACUGAGAUACGGCCCAG
rnacentral:rRNA from 1 species